GACAGAGGGUGCAAACGUUGUUCGGAUUUACUGGGCGUAAAGCGCGUGUAGGCGGCUUUGCAAGUCGGAUGUGAAAUCCCACGGCUCAACCGUGGAAGUGCAUCCGAGACUGCAUCGCUCGAGUCUCGGAGAGGAAGGUGGAAUGCUUGGUGUAGAGGUGAAAUUCGUAGAUAUCAAGCAGAACACCUGCGGCGAAGGCGGCCUUCUGGACGAUGACUGACGCUGAGACGCGAAAGCGUGGGGAGCAAACAGG
rnacentral:rRNA from 1 species